rnacentral:rRNA from 2 species
CGUAAAGCGCGCGCAGGCGGUCCUUUAAGUCUGAUGUGAAAUCCCGUGGCUUAACCACGGGCGGUCAUUGGAAACUGGGGGACUUGAGUGCAGAAGAGAAGAGCGGAAUUCCACGUGUAGCGGUGAAAUGCGUAGAGAUGUGGAGGAACACCAGUGGCGAAGGCGGCUCUUUGGUCUGUAACUGACGCUGAGGCGCGAAAGCGUGGGGAGCGAACAGGAUUAGAUACCCUGGUAGUCCACGCCGUAAACGAUGAGUGCUAAGUGUUAGAGGGUUUCCGCCCUUUAGUGCUGCAGUUAACGCAUUAAGCACUCCGCCUGGGGAGUACGGCCGCAAGGCUGAAACUCAAAGGAAUUGACGGGGGCCCGCACAAGCGGUGGAGCAUGUGGUUUAAUUCGAAGCAACGCGAAGAACCUUACCAGGUCUUGACAUCCCGCUGCCCGGUCUGGAGACAGGCCUUUCCCUUCGGGGACAGCGGUGACAGGUGGUGCAUGGUUGUCGUCAGCUCGUGUCGUGAGAUGUUGGGUUAAGUCCCGCAACGAGCGCAACCCUUGACCUUAGUUGCCAGCAUUCAGUUGGGCACUCUAAGGUGACUGCCGGUGACAAACCGGAGGAAGGUGGGGAUGACGUCAAAUCAUCAUGCCCCUUAUGACCUGGGCUACACACGUGCUACAAUGGAUGGUACAAAAGGGUUGCAAGACCGCGAGGUUAAGCCAAUCCCAUAAAACCAUUCUCAGUUCGGAUUGCAGGCUGCAAACUCGCCUGCAUGAAGCCGGAAUCGCUAGUAAUCGUGGAUCAGCAUGCCACGGUGAAUACGUUCCCGGGCCUUGUACACACCGCCCGUCACACCACGAGAGUCUGUAACACCCGAAGUCGGUGGGGUAACC